ACUGAACUGCUCACGCUUUAUUAAUCCAUAUCUUUCCCCAACUCUAAAAGAUCCUCCUUCAACUAUACUGAACUGGUAAGGAGACUUCAGUGGAGCUCUCACAAACUUGAGGCAACCAGUCUGACUAGAGUUCCUUAGAUCCACACAAUACUGAUAUUGCAUAUACUGCACUCACUAGCACAGUACCUUUGGGUACCUUGAAAUUACCACCAGCUAGUGCAGUAACAGCUACUUCA